ensembl:lncRNA
CUUGCUUUUAUGGUCAAUGUGUAGCCUAUGAGAAUAGUUUGUAAGUCGAUGAUUUAAGGGAAAGGUUCACUCUUACCCUGUAAGCAGUCUAUGGAGGUAGGACAGCAAUCCAUGCUGUGGUUUAGUUUCCCUGGCACGGUUUACAAAUGCUAAUGUUUUAGCAUUUGUGGACGCAAAUCCCAUUCAAGUCCUGGUACCGAUAUUAGCUUUUUUUUCCCACGCCUCACGUUUGAACAUGAUGCGUGAAAAAUGCAGUUACCCAACAGUGUGUAUGCCACCAUCUUGGUCUAUUUAAAAUCUCCUCUCAUUGAUUGAGACAGGUGGGUGUCCACUCCAAAGUGCCGCCCCCUGCAACGAGACUUGGACGUUUGGAACGGGGCAGCAGGUAUCCUAGUGGUUAGAGGAGGUAUCCUAGUGGUUAGAGGAGGUAUCCUAGUGGUUAGAGGAGGCAGGUAGCCUAGUGGUUAGAGGAGGCAGGUAGCCUAGUGGUUAGAGGAGGUAUCCUAGUGGUUAGAGGAGGUAUCCUAGUGGUUAGAGGAGGUAUCCUAGUGGUUAGAGGAGGCAGGUAGCCUAGUGGUUAGAGGAGGCAGGUAGCCUAGUGGUUAGAGGAGGGAGGCAGGUAGUCUAGUGGUUAGAGGAGGUAUCCUAGUGGUUAGAGGAGGCAGGUAGCCUAGUGGUUAGAGGAGGCAGGUAGCCUAGUGGUUAGAGGAGGGAGGCAGGUAGCCUAGUGGUUAGAGGAGGCAGGCAGCCUAGUGGUUAGAGGAGGCAGGUAGCCUUAGUGGUUAGAGGAGGCAGGUAGCCUAGUGGUUAGAGGAGGCAGGUAGCCUAGUGGUUAGAGGAGGCAGGUAGCCUAGUGGGUAGAGGAGACAGGUAGCCUAGUGGUUAGAGCGUUGGAAUCCCUAAACUGACAAGGUAAACAUCUGCCGUUCUGCCCCUGAACAAGGCAGUUAACCCACUGGUCCCCCAGUAAAAAAAAACAUGUGUUUUAUCUCCCAAGUUGGGAAUUGAGGAGGUAUGAAUAAUUAAAGGUUGGUCAAAAAUAUUCUGUGCUAAGUGUUUAACAUGACCUACUUAAUAAUGCCUAUCAGCAUCUUAAUUAGAACAAGCAGCCUAUCAGCAUCUUAAUUAGAACAAUCAGCCUAUCAGCCUGAUAGACAGACCAUCAUUACUGUUCUAUGUGAUAUUUCUAAUAGCUGAGUCUAUUGUUCUCC